GCUCUAACUUAACCUAGAUAGAUAGAUAGAUAGGUGUAAAUAGGAAAGAUGGUAAAAUUGAAUAAGAACAAUAUUAAAGGUAAGAUAACAAUGGGUGAUAAUAUGGGAAUAGAAAAUAGAGCAAUUCUAGUAUAUGGGUGAUGGUAGCAGAAUAGAGAGAAUAACUAUGGUUUCUCUACUUCAAAGGGGUAUGUCUAUGUCUGGGACGAACCACGUGAUAAGAGUACACCACAAAGGAUGCUUAUCCUUAGGCCGAUAAACCCUACCCGUCCUACUAACAAGAGGUGGACUACAGGGGACCAACGUAACUGUCACCUACGUGGCCUACCACACGAUCUAGCUAGACAGGGGAUAUCCACAAGUAAUCUAGAUCUAAGCACCUCACUUACACCUAUACUACAACUCUCACCUAUAGCGUCCUAUAGAUUAAAGUACUCAAAAGAGUUGUGAACCAAAACAUACAUGAUUAGUAAUUGCAUAAUGAAUUAGAAGUAGAUUACCAGACUCAUCCCAUGAGCAAGCUUAAUUAGAGCUUGAUCAUGACGAAGUACAACCGGAGGAAGAACCGACAGGCCGGCCUCUCCUCUAAUCCUCCUUCGCUCUCCAUCUCGCUACUAUCUAGAUCUACUCUAGUUUAGAGAAGAGAGGAGAGCUCUCAUCUCUAAACCCUAGCUUUUGCUCUGUCUAUGAAUAAUGAAUAAUGACCAAGGGGUGCCUCCUCCAGGGACCAGGGGGUCUGAUUAUAUAGUUCCCUCAAGUGAACCUGGGCCGUCGGAUCAAACCGACAUUGAUUGAACGGUUAUUUUUGAUCCUUUAGGUCGGUGGAGAUCUCCAGAGAGAAAGAGUCCUGAUUGGGCUCCAAGUCAGGGCGGGCGCCUAGGGCAGGAGGGCGGGCGCCCUGCCUCUGGCCCCGUUCGGCCUCCGCUUCCUUCUCGUGGCUUCUGGAGUCUUCUAGAUGUAAGAUAAUUGCGCGGCAUGUUAAUAUCUCUAUGUAAUCCCGACGUGUGGGCCUUUCUUCCGUAUUUCCUGAUAACCCCCUGCAGAAAUAGACAAACACCAAAACUCAUAGAAUUCUAUCAGAUAAAACCCUAAGUCUAGAUGUUGAUUUCAAUUAGAUCUUUUUCUUUGUUUAUUUGACAAUUAAAUUUGAUACUUAAGGACCGUCAACAAACUCCCCCAAGCUUACCUCUUGCUCAUCCCUGAGCAAGGAUAGACUAAGCAAUGGAUCAGAAGUUGUUGCAAUAUCUUAAAAAUUUGACGGUACACAUGCUUUUAAAUAAGAUCUCAUCUCUGAGUUAGAGUAAACUAUCAAGAACUAAAACUUACUUACUUUACCUUUCACCAUGGGACUUGUAACCGUCAGUUCUGUCUUGAGUAGUUAAAAGAUAGAACAGUCUAGCCAAGUGCCAUGUCUCUUAUUCUUGAUCAGCUAUAGCUCUGGAGUUUUUGCAGAUUUUCAAAUAAAACUCAGAGAUUCCUUGUAUGACUCUCUUAAUCUCUCUUUUGUGGUAUUUCUGGAUCCUUACCAAGGCAGUGAUGGUAUAUGCCUUCUCUCAAGAUAUAUGGUAUUUGUGGUAUAAGGCAUAGUGACAUUGCCUUCUCUCUCACCCUACCCUAAUAAGGCUUUAAUAUCUGGAGCUCAUAGGUGGGAGAUAAAGUAUACAUACUUACAAGACAUUUAUUGUAUAGCCAAACCAUGGAUCCAAAGAAACAAAUCAAUAAGCCAAAUCAAGAUGUGCGUGUGUGGCGAAUGAAUGGUGUAUGGUGAUGAUGGUGAUAACAAUGGUGAAAGUCUAAUUCUACUUUUGCUCUUUUGAGGGGAUACAUACCUUCCUUGCUUUUUGAAACUUUAUGAGGAGAAUGAGAUGCUCUUCUUUUUCUUUCCUCUCAAGUGGGUAUCUUGUACCCCUAAUUCUACUGUCGGACACUUGUCCAUUUUUACCUCUCGUCUCACUUUUUCUUUCUUUCGAGGUUCCGGGCACUUGCCCCUUUUUAUUUCCUCGUUUAUUAUUUUUUUUUCAGAGCACUCAUCUCUUGAGAUAAUAUAGCAAGUGGUAGUAGCAAGAUAACUUGAGCAUUUAUUUCACAAGGAAAAACAGAAAUAUUUUUGGUUAUUCUCUCCCGGAUUAGGAGUAGAAUAUUUUUGGGUGGUUCUGGAGAUGGAAAUGAGUGGAUAUAUGUGGAUGGUACUUCCGGAGUAGAAGUAGCAUAUAUGAGUGAAUGUGCAAGUGAAAUCUUGAUUUAACCACAUGACAAGCUCCUAAGGGUCUACACAGCUUGACCACACUCAAUGCUCAUAAGCAGUAAAUAGUAAAUGUGUGGCUCAAAGUCUAGCAAGCAUGUAUAUAUGGCUGUGGUAGGAAUUUAAACUUUCAUCAUACAGGAACUCAUCAUGCAAUAUUUUAAAGAUUUUUCAAAGAUAAAAUUCUCCAGAAUUCUAGCAUCUCUAGGAACAGAAAAACAGCAGCUCAACCUUCCCAUAUCAUAUCCGUUAACAAUUUAGAUUUCAGAUCAAGUUUUUAUCCCACAAAUUUAGAUCUAGAGCAAGCUUUAAAAUAUAACAGUUAUGUCUAAACUUGAGAGAGAACAUCAAAUUUGCAAAUUAGGCAGAGCAACUAUUCAUCAUAUCCUUGCUAGAGUUUUAUUAUUAAGAUUCAGAUUAGCGUAGCCACUUUAUUUAUUUAUUAAACAUACUAAGCAAAAGAUAUAUAUAAGCACAAAAUCUUUAUUUGGUUUUUCAUAGUUUAUGUAUUUUAAUAUUCUAAUAUAAUAUAAGCAUAAAGAUAGGUAGAAAUACUUAGCGAGAUAAAUGGGGUGCUCUCCCCCAAGCUGAAUUUUGACGUAAUUUCUCUUGAUGUAGCUAGCAGGUGGCAGAGGUGUAUUUGAAAGUCAGCAGCAUUCUGACAGCGAUUAGAAUGUCCUCCGUCUGCUAGUCUUCUUGAUUCUUAAAUUCUGUGGAGCUCAAAUAGACAACAAAGCUUGUGGAACAAAUUAAGUGUUAGCAUAAAUAUCUAGCCUUCAUCAUGUUGAGCUUCCUCAAUAAAUAUUACUCCCUAUUUUUAUAUUUUUAUUUUAUAAAGCAGAAAAGAAAUAUUUAUUUUAUUUUUAUGCCACCACAGUCAAGGUACUUAUGGGUUUUAUGCCACUCGUAUACUCACAUGGGGCUUAGUAUUUUUUAACAUUUUUAUUUUCUUUUCAAGAUAGCAUGAUUAACUAAUAAUCUAUUUAAGGAAAGUAAAUAAUUAAAGGGAAAAGGGAAUGCAUAAAAGAUAAAUAUGGAUAACUACUGAUCUUACCUUUCGGCGAGGGUUCAAUGUUUUAAGUCUUCUUAACAAGACUUCUCACCGUGUUCAUUCUUCAGGUGCGUCAUUUGAUUCAGGUGUGGACCUUGACGUCUGUACCUCUUGAUACGGUGUCACCCAUGUUCUUCGUUUGCUCAGCAGUUCGAAGUGCGGCGUUGGCAGUAACCUGCUCAGUGUGUUUGUGCUCGUAGAUCCAGGUCCUUCACUUGGUAGAGUCUGAGAGUUAUAAAACUCCUCUGUAUUUUGCUCAAAGUGUACCUGUUCAUAGAGACAAGGCAGAGAUCAAAUGCAUGGGUCCUGUUGGUGGAAAACACCAACAAAACCUAAAGUGUAUUUAUUCUUCUCUAACCCUAAGCAUAGUGAGCAAGACAAAGUUGAUGGAUGAAAAGUUCAUGAGUGUAGCACUUAUAACAUUUGUCAGAUUAGAUCGCUCAACCUUAUGGAAAGAUAAUCUAUCUAUGUAUAUGUCUUUUUCUUUAUAUCUCUCAAUGAUUGAAUGUGUAACAUUUUAGCUCAUAUGAUUAGGAGUGUGCGAUCAUGGAGGUAGUACUAAGAACAAGGAUUAAAGGACUAAACAUGUUGAAUCAGUUGGGUUGGUUAAUCUAGAGUUGUAAAUCAUACAUGUUUGUCUCUUUUAUUUAUAUGAACGCCAGAAACAAAGAGAAGCUUAUAAAAGUGAUAGUCAAGUACCUUAAGGUGUUACCUUGCUUGAAGAGUGAUGGUACAGUAUCACCUUGUGGAAGCUUUCCUUUCAUAGCGGUUGUGCAUCGUGUUUGUAGCACCCUCCAUGGAUCAUCUCUCUAUGAUGAAUGAGCUAUGUCCUUCUUGUGCAAAUUGUUAAACUUCAUGUGUCACUCUCUUCGUCUCUGAUGUGAGUUUAUCUCAGGACUACCCAAAUCGAUAUUGAAAGUUUUUCUGCAGGGGUUAGUCCGACAAAAAUAUACCAAUGUCUACACAAGCAGUUUUUAGUUCAAUAACCGAACUAGACUCCAUGUCUAAUCACAUUAAGGAAGGUUGUUUAACCUAAGCACCAUGCUUAAUUUAAAAGCCAAUAGAAGUAUGUGCAGUACUUCCAAACUAACACUUACAAGUAAAUAGACAAAUGUAGCAUGACAGCAUUUAUAGAGAUCUACUCAAGUGGAGAUGAAGUAGUGUGAUUAGUAUUUAACAAAUUGAGCAUGUCUUAAAGGUAGGGACAACCAACAUAGCAACAUGGCAAAGAAUGUUUUUAUGUAAAGUACUCCCCCAAGCUUGAAUUUUGCAGAAUUCAAGUUUGGAUGAAUUUAAUUCAAUGUUGUAUGAUGAUUGGUUGGACAUACCUUGUGCUUGUCAUUUAUCCGAUCUUCUUGCUCCAAUCCUAUAAAGGUUAGUGACAAGAAUACCCGAAGGAAUAUUUUUACAAUUAUCCUUAUAUGCUCAAUACACAAGGUAAUGUUGCAAAUAAUUAAAAACUCAUGUUACGAUCUGAUCAGUGCUUAUUUUAGGACACUAAGCUUGUCCUUGGGAAACCAUCAAUUUAUGUCGGCGAAGUGGUUUCCCUUCCAACGCUGACCUAAAUCAAGAUUAACUCAACGAGAUCUGCAAUAUUUAUUAUAGACAUAUGCAUCGACAACCGCCCUUUUAAAGAUUUUAUAAAUAGAAAGGAAGAGGGGGUUGGAGAUCUCAAAUGUGGUGAUGUUGGAGAGACCAAUAGAUUGGGAAGAUGUUGCAUAUGAGCAUGGAGUAAACAAAGUGGCUAUGAAAUAAAUUCCAUGCUCAUAAAUGUUAUCUUCGUCUCCAAUCUGAAUGUUCAGAGUUUCUCUUGGAUUGGUCUCACUUAUGUCCUCUUCUAUAGUUGGAUGAAUCUCAUCUUCAAAGGGAGUCAAGAACUCACCAUUUGAAAUUGAACCAAAGUUCAGAAUUCAUUAAGGCUUCUUCCUUAUCCAUCCAUUCUACACAUUCUAGCCAUUUAGAACUUGUGAUCAGGAAAGGGGAGGUGUUAGAAUUUUCAAUAUGGCUUAGCUCUCCUUUACUUGAUGUGUCAUCCUCAACUUCUUCAUAACAGGAACCAGGACAUUCUCUAAGAGAACCAUUAUUGCGAGGAUUUGAAUUAUCCCUGCUUGAAGGUCUCUUAUGGAACCAGAAGUCUAAACCAUCAGCAUCUGAAAGAUUUAAGGUCCGAAUUCCUUCCUCCCUUGGAGAAUUUUGGGGUAUUGAUGGUUUAGGAUCGAUAGCUAAAGUUUGGAAUUGAAGUGGUUGUGAUCUGGCUAUCGAAACUUCUUCUUCUUGUCUAGGAACUGGUUCUGUAUCUUUCUCAGGGAUAUAAAAGCUAGGAGACUUUCCACUUAAUAAAUCAAUCAAAUUCCAAGCUUCACUAGCAUGUAGGUGAUAGAAGGAUCCUCUAGAGGCUGUAUUCAAGGUUUGCUUAUUUUCCCCACUAAGGCCCUCAAAAAAGUGAAUUAGAAGAACUUCUUCUAGAAUAGAAAGCUUUGGGCUAGUGAGAGUAAGGUUAAUAAAGCGGUCCCAUGAUUUCCUAAGAGAUUCUUCUUCCAGUUGUGUAAAAGAAAUAAUCUCACGCUGAAGUUCCGCCACUUUGGAGAUUGGAAAAUAUUUAGAAAGAAAACUACUAUAUAACUCCUUCCAAUCUCCAUGAACACUCCCUACUUUGAGUUUGUACCAAUGUCUAGCUUUUCCCGUUAAAGAGAACGGAAAGAGCUUCCAUUUGAGGGUCUCAUCGGACAUUCCUUCUAUGCGAAGGAGGUCACAGACUCGAUAAAACUCUCUUAGGUGUGUGUAUGGGUUUUCCUCACCUUCUCCUGAGAAAGGUUGUUUUUGAACAAAUUCUAUGUAUUCGGGGUCUAUCUCAAAACUAGAUGCUAUGGUAGGCUUUGAAGAUUUUGGUGGUUCGAGAUGUGUGCCCGUAGGUCUAUGAAAUUCAUAGAUAGACAUGUUUGAAUUCAUGAUAGACCAGAGAUCAAGGAUUAGAUAAGAAGAAAGAUUAGCAGAGAUGAGGCAAAGGAUAAAAGGAAAAUAUUUUUUUAUUUAUUUUUUUUAGAAAAUGAUUAAGCUAGUUCGUAGUCAACUCAGCAACCGUUUCCCUGGCAACGGCGCCAAAAAUGCUUGUUGACACUUGCUAACACCACUUGAAUACUAGGUUGUCAUCCCCAGCAUGGCACUAGAGUGUACUAUGGUAUUUAUACGCACACAGAUAAUCUGCAAGCGCACGGAUACCGUUGAAGCUUUUACCCGGUUAAAGGUUUUAUCGUAUCCACAGGAAAUAGGAGAACUGAUCUACGCUCUAACUUAACCUAGAUAGAUAGAUAGAUAGGUGUAAAUAGGAAAGAUGGUAAAAUUGAAUAAGAACAAUAUUAAAGGUAAGAUAACAAUGGGUGAUAAUAUGGGAAUAGAGAAUAGAGCAAUUCUAGUAUAUGGGCGAUGGUAGCAGAAUAGAGAGAAUAACUAUGGUUUCUCUACUUCAAAGGGGUAUGUCUAUGUCUAGGACGAACCACGUGAUAAGAGUACACCACAAAGGAUGCUUAUCCUUAGGCCAAUAAACCCUACCCGUCCUGCUAACAAGAGGUGGACUACAGGGGACCAACGUAACUGUCACCUACGCGGCCUACCACACGAUCCAGCUAGAUAGGGGAUAUCCACAAGUAAUCUAGAUCUAAGCACCUUGCUUACACCUAUACUACAACUCUCACCUAUAGCGUCCUAUAGAUUAAAGUACUCAAAAGAGUUGUGAACCAGAACAUACAUGAUUAGUAAUUGCAUAAUGAAUUAGAAGUAGAUUACCAGAGUCAUCCCAUGAGCAAGCUUGAUUAGAGCUUGAUCAUGACGAAGUACAACCGGAGGAAGAACCGACAGGCCGGCCUCUCCUCUAAUCCUCCUUCGCUCUCCAUCUCGCUACUAUCU
rnacentral:lncRNA from 1 species